rnacentral:rRNA from 1 species
AACGCGAAGAACCUUACCUGGGCUUGAACCGCUACGGACCAAGGGUAGAAAUAUCCUCUUCCCGCAAGGGACCGUAGUAGAGGUGCUGCAUGGCUGUCGUCAGCUCGUGCCGUGAGGUGUUGGGUUAAGUCCCGCAACGAGCGCAACCCUUACUCCUAGUUGCUACCCGCAAGGGAGAACUCUAGGAGGACUGCUCCGGAUAACGGAGAGGAAGGUGGGGAUGACGUCAAGUCAGCACGGCCUUUAUGUCCAGGGCUACACACGUGUUACAAUGCAUGGUACAGACUGUUGCGAACCCGCGAGGGGGAGCUAAUCGGACAAAGCCAUGCUCAGUUCGGAUUGCAGUCUGCAACUCGACUGCAUGAAGCUGGAAUCGCUAGUAAUGCCGUAUCAGAUCGACGGCGUGAAUACGUUCCCGGGCCUUGUA